GGAAGGAUCAUUAACGAGUUUUGAAACGGGUUGUUGCUGGCCUUCCGAGGCAUGUGCACGCCCUGCUCAUCCACUCUACACCUGUGCACUUACUGUAGGUUGGCGUGGGUUUCUAGCCUCCGGGUUGGAAGCAUUCUGCCGGCCUAUGUACACUACAAACUCUUAAAGUAUCAGAAUGUAAACGCGUCUAACGCAUCUUAAUACAACUUUCAGCAACGGAUCUCUUGGCUCUCGCAUCGAUGAAGAACGCAGCGAAAUGCGAUAAGUAAUGUGAAUUGCAGAAUUCAGUGAAUCAUCGAAUCUUUGAACGCACCUUGCGCUCCUUGGUAUUCCGAGGAGCAUGCCUGUUUGAGUGUCAUGAAAUUCUCAACCCAUAAAUCCUUGUGAUCUAUGGGCUUGGAUUUGGAGGCUUGCUGGCCCUAGCGGUCGGCUCCUCUUGAAUGCAUUAGCUUGAUUCCGUGCGGAUCGGCUCUCAGUGUGAUAAUUGUCUACGCUGUGACCGUGAAGCGUUUUGGCAAGCUUCUAACCGUCCAUUAGGACAAUUUUAUAACAUCUGACCUCAAAUCAGGUAGGACUACCCGCUGAACUUAAGCAUAUCAAUA
rnacentral:rRNA from 1 species